rnacentral:lncRNA from 1 species
CUUUAAGCCAUGAGAUAUAAGCCCAACCUCUGGAGGGGAAAAGGGGAGCUGGAGAAUGAACCAUGUGACCAGUGGUUCUAUCAAUCAUGCCUGUAUGAGGCCUCAGUAGGCCUCAGUAAACAUUUUAGUACACCAAAGCUCAAGUGAGCCUCCUUGACUGACAUUACUCCUUGAGUAUUGUCACACUUUCAGGCUGGGAGGAUAACACGUCCUUAAGGAUGACAGAAGCAUUGCACUUGGAACCCUGACAGAUGUUGCCCUGCGCAUUUCUUCUUUGGGCUGUAUCCUUUUACUGUAAUAAAACUAUGUAGGCGAAUAACAUGAACAUUGCUUCAUCUUUGUUCCACAAGUUUCUGAGACAGCACCGGUGGCCUGUUCUGGAGAGUUGAUCAUCU